CAAUUGUGACGAUAUGACACACCUCAAGUAUUGCGACAGGGUGACAACAUGUAGGGAAAACGAGGUUUGCUACGUCCAGAGCUACUCCAAGGGUCUCGACGCCAUUCGCUACAAGUCUGGCUGCACAGAUAAGCUACGUUGUAGGAGUCACGGACUAUCCGGCUGCUUUGAAUGCUGUAAUGGGAGUUACUGCAAUAUACGAGGGUCUAAGGAUGAUGGUA